rnacentral:rRNA from 1 species
GACGAACGCUGGCGGCGUGCUUAACACAUGCAAGUCGAACGAUGAAGCUCAGCUUUCUGGGUGGAUUAGUGGCUAACGGGUGAGUAACUCGUGAGUAACUUGCCCUUGAUUCUGGCAUAAGUCUGCCUAACUGGGUCUAUUUCUUGCUAUGUCUUCUCAUUCCAUGCUUGGUGGUGUAUGGAUUUAUUGUUCUUGGAUGUACUCGCGGCCUAUCAGCUUGUUGGUGUGGUAAUGGCUCACCAAGGCGACGACGGGUAGCCGGCCUGAGAGGGUGACCGGCCACACUGGGACUGAGACACGGCCCAGACUCCUACGGGAGGCAGCAGUGGGGAAUAUUGCACAAUGGGCGCAAGCCUGAUGCAGCGACGCCGCGUGAGGGAUGACGGCCUUCGGGUUGUAAACCUCUUUCAGUAGGGAAGAAGCGAGAGUGACGGUACCUGCAGAAGAAGCGCCGGCUAACUACGUG